rnacentral:lncRNA from 13 species
GGGAAAGACCGGACUGCUCCGACCCACCCCUUCCCUACCCCCACCUCCCACCUUAAAGCACCUUAUACCACGGAAGCCUCUCAGCCUCCUCUUUCCUCCGCGAACGCGCUGAGCAGCGAUUGAAAACGUUUUGGUCCUCUGCAGGGGCGCGUUCUGGGGUCUCUGCGCAAGACCAUCUCUCAGCUCUCUCUCCCUUCCUCGGACUCUGGAGUGGGAGCGGGCCUUUCCCUCGGGCGGACCACACCGUAGGGGACGCCGUGAAAAGAGCCGUCGCGCCCGCCACCUCCUGCCCGCUGCGCAGAGGGCUCCGCCCGUAGAGGUCAACUUCCCUCACCCUUUCCUCUUUCCUGCUCGCCCUCCCUCCGCCCGGCCCAGGCGCUUCCAGCCCCCGACUCCAGCCGCAGGCUGAGGAGUGCGAAUCCGCUGCGCUGCCCUGAACCGAAGCCCCUUCCAGACCCGAGGUCCUUGCUCCGGGGCAGUGGGGAAGCCUUAGUGAGCAGCCUUUUCUCUCCGCAGCAAACUCGUAGCCAGACCAGAUGGGCCGCCCAGCUCUCUCGGGACUAGGCAGUCGUCUUCCUUGAAACAGAAAUGUAAGGUCCUCAGACGCGGAUCUCAGCACAGACUUGGUCACCAAAGGGAUGUGCAAAGGACGAAAGUGUGGGCCUCGAGACUUAAACAGAAAGGGGUGGCCGGAGACCCACCAGGUGAGACAGAGCAGAAGCCCAUGCAGCCUGCCACCUUCAGCCAGGUUUAUAGCUCGGCAGUCUUAGUUAGACGGGUCCAGAGGGCUGAGCUCUGCAGACCGCUCGGGUGCGCAGUAGCCUGCUCGGCGCAUCCCAGCCGGCGGGAGGCACUGGAGGGCCAGGAGGGCCAGGAGGCCUGAAACCCGCACUGCGGAAAACCCGACCGCAGCCGCAUCCUCAUAGAGCCCGCGACGGAAAGAGUCAGGGCGGUUUACUAAAUCCUAUCCAGUGAAAAUUCGCCCUAGGAAUUGAAGGUUGGAUGGGCCAGUAUUGAUAUAUUUUUUAAAAUCUUUACAUUUCUCAACCUAUUUCAUCGUUCUUAGAUAUUGAGAGUAUUAAAUGUAAACAAUACAAAUUUUAAUUCCCUAAGUAAUGAACCAAAAUGGCAAGGGAGAGAGAGACGGGAAAUCAACUAAUUCGUAGCCAGCCUGGCUGGCUAUUUCUCAAAAGAAAUUUCUAUGCAUUUGCUUAGGUUUGCCUAUAAAUUCACAAACGUAAAGGCUGUUAAAAUUAAUAACAGAUUGGACAAUAGAGCAGCAACACCGAUUUUGAUCCAGAUACAAAAAUGGGCCAUGCAUUGAAAUGACCUAAAAGAGAUGUGUUCAUUAAGUUCUUCUUCUCUCUUUCUCUCUCUCUCUCUCUUUUCACACGGGACGUAGAUGUAUACUAAGAUUCAAGAAAUAGAACGGCCAAGUGCAAUAUCCUCAGAGAGCUGUCUGCUCACCCCCUGCCUCAGGGCGGAUUUUAUCUGUCUUCGAAUUUUAGAACCCUGCAAGUCAGGUCUUUCACAUUCAUCGAUUACUUUGGUUUAUCUUUAAUUUUAUCCAUUUUGGGAAUGGGUAGGUAAAGCACACUGGAAAAUAGGGGCUGCUGGCAUGACAAAAUUAAAAGGUUGUGAGUAUUCCUCUUGUGCCAAUUAAAGGCAGUUGUUGGAAGCGGAAAUGAGUUUAAAGCAUUACACGUUAUCAUGGCCGGCCUUUCUUUCUAAUAUUCAUCCAAUUGCGCUGUUUUCCUGCAUCCACAACUUGCAUAGUCCACAAAGCACCUAUGGUCCAGGGCUGCAAAAUCGUCCCGCCUGAUUCCAUUAGAAUUCAUACUACCUCGCAGAAGCAAACCUAAUCCCCUCAGCCUAAUCCUACCUGUUUAGGACCAUAUAAACUCGUCCUUCAGAAAUCUUGAUCAGUUUAAAAUUACUUUCGAAGUAGAAGUGAAAUACAUGAUAUGAGAGAGGUUUAAAUACUACUUAAAAAGGGAACACUCAAUUUAGUAAUUCGGUUGCCUAGAUGAAAUCGAGUGGCUAUUGAUCCGUGAUGUUUCUAGAUUUUUAAGACUAUGUACUUUCUAUUUCUCUGGAAAAUAAUCAUCCAGUUUGAUGCCCAUUACAAAUUUUCCUGCUAUGAAAGAAAUCCUAUGCAGUUUUGCAAUAAAACAACCCAGGCUUCGCA